rnacentral:piRNA from 1 species
AGUUCAGUGCACUGGCUGCUUUUCCAGA